GUUUAUUCAAUGCUUCACAUUUUCCAAGGAAGCACGUGCUGAGUAGGCACUCCCCCUUUACAAGGAUGGAAUGACUACAUAUAUCUAUAACACGGAAACACUAACAGUGAUGUGAAAGUGGAACCUAAUUGAGGAGAUCUGCUCAUCUAACCGUCCCAUGCCCAGAGAGCUUUUACAAGCCUCCAGUAAGUGAUAAACAAUGCUGUCA
rnacentral:lncRNA from 1 species